UGCAAUGGCUCAUUAAAUCAGUUAUCGUUUAUUUGAUAGUACCUUACUACAUGGAUACCUGUGGUAAUUCUAGAGCUAAUACAUGCUAAAAACCUCGACUUCGGAAGGGGUGUUUUUUUUAAAUAAAAAACCAAUGCCUUCGGGGCUCCUUGGUGAUUCAUAAUAACUUAACGAAUCGCAUGGCCUUGCGCCGGCGAUGGUUCAUUCAAAUUUCUGCCCUAUCAACUUUCGAUGGUAGGAUAGUGGCCUACCAUGGUGGCAACGGGUAACGGGGAAUUAGGGUUCGAUUCCGGAGAGGGAGCCUGAGAAACGGCUACCACAUCCAAGGAAGGCAGCAGGCGCGCAAAUUACCCAAUCCCGACACGGGGAGGUAGUGACAAUAAAUACUGAUACGGGGCUCUUUUGGGUCUCGUAAUUGGAAUGAGUACAAUCUAAAUCCCUUAACGAGGAACAAUUGGAGGGCAAGUCUGGUGCCAGCAGCCGCGGUAAUUCCAGCUCCAAUAGCGUAUAUUAAAGUUGUUGCAGUUAAAAAGCUCGUAGUUGAACCUUGGGUCUGGCUGGCCGGUCCGCCUCACCGCGAGUACUGGUCCGGCUGGACCUUUCCUUCUGGGGAACCUCAUGGCCUUCACUGGCUGUGGGGGGAACCAGGACUUUUACUGUGAAAAAAUUAGAGUGUUCAAAGCAGGCCUUUGCUCGAAUACAUUAGCAUGGAAUAAUAGAAUAGGACGUGCGGUUCUAUUUUGUUGGUUUCUAGGACCGCCGUAAUGAUUAAUAGGGAUAGUCGGGGGCGUCAGUAUUCAGCUGUCAGAGGUGAAAUUCUUGGAUUUGCUGAAGACUAACUACUGCGAAAGCAUUCGCCAAGGAUGUUUUCAUUAAUCAGGGAACGAAAGUUAGGGGAUCGAAGACGAUCAGAUACCGUCGUAGUCUUAACCAUAAACUAUGCCGACUAGGGAUCGGGCGGUGUUUCUAUGAUGACCCGCUCGGCACCUUACGAGAAAUCAAA
rnacentral:rRNA from 1 species